rnacentral:rRNA from 1 species
UACGAAGGGCCCGAGCGUUAUCCGGAUUUAUUGGGCUUAAAGGGUGCGUAGGCGGCUUGAUAAGUCAGUGGUGAAAGCCCGUCGCUUAACGGCGGAACUGCCAUUGAUACUGUCAGUCUUGAGUAUGGUUGAGGUGGGCGGAAUGUGUCAUGUAGCGGUGAAAUGCUUAGAUAUGACACAGAACACCAAUUGCGAAGGCAGCUCGCUAAACCAUAACUGACGCUGAUGCACGAAAGCGUGGGGAGCAAACAGG